GCCUUAUACGUUACUCUAUUUCAAGGACUGUCCUUUCACCAGUGUAUAUUCCCUCCACGGCCACCAUAUCCAUUAAAAUUUCUCCCUUUGAGAGAUGUUGUCUAGAGUCUAGACAGACACAACUGCUGGUAUGUUUAGCUAAGGUUUAUUCCCUCUAGCAGUUUUGGAAAAGAUGGCACGUGUUUUUUCCAAUGUAAAGCUAUGAGGCGACAUGCUGCCAAAGCUCUAUCAAGGAAGAUUGUGGAUUUCUCGAACAUUAAUAAUAAAUAGUCAGGGUAAGCUAGCCACCUCCUUCCAGAACGUUUGUAAUUUGUGGCAUUUCCACCAAAUAUGUACCAUUUUACCCUCAUGCUCACCACAACCCCAGCAAGCAGAUGAGGUAGUAAAUCCUACGUAAGCGGGUGGGGGUCAUAUACCACUGAUAUACUAAUUCAUUGUGUGCUUUGACAUGACGAUAGCAUCAGGUUACCUCUUUCAGGGUGUUAAGUGACCUUUUCCAAUACUACUUUGAAAAAGUUCCAUGACGUGUUUGAAAAGCCUGUGCGAAUGUUGGUAAGGCUUCUUCUAAUGCUCUGUAGAAUGCGGACAUAGCUUUUGGCUUUAGUGGAGAGUGCCAGCAUCUAUCCAGCACUAACUGAAACCUUGGUCUUAGCUGAAAGGAAGGGUUAGGGCAUGUGAUGACCUGUGAGUUCAGGACACUUAAAUUGCAUGUAAGGGAAUAUGUAACUUGGUGGCAGCGUAUAGGUCUCUUGCAAGGAAGGGAACGGUUAUACUCACCGUAACUGUGAUACAUUGGCUAUCCCCAUUCCUACCCAUUUCUUUAUGGACAACCACAGGUGUUUGCUAAAGCUAAAAUAAUAGAAUUCGGUAGAAAGUGCUUCCUUACCCUUAUCAAGCCAAAUAUCUGUUCCCAGACUCUAAUCGUUCGUUCCGUAGUAGGAAAUAUUAAAGGUUUAAAAAGUGUCUAAGGUGUUGGGGUCCAUAUGGUAAUUAUCAGAGGAUGCAAUGCAAUUUAACCAUUCCCAUGUCUACUCAUUAGAGUGUACCUUUAGGGGCAGAGUGUCAGCACGGAUUGUAAAACUGAUGCUCUGUAAUACUAGAGAAUAUUCGGUACUCCCAUAGAUCCUCCAGAAAAGGGUUUCUGCAGUAGGGAAGUAAGAGUCUAGCUUACAGGUAGUCCCAUAUGAAAUUAGUAAGUAAUUGUUGUAAUCAUUUAUAGAAAGAUAUGGGCAGGGAUAUGGGAAAUAAGCAACACACAUAUAAAAUGCAUGGGAGCAGCCUAAAUGUUAACUGUAUUUAUCCUGCCUGUCCAAGAUAGAACUAGCAAAACUGAACUCACUGCAACUAUUUUACUGCUUUGGAGGAGUGGGGUAUGAUUGUGUUUGAAUAUCAAUCAUCCAAGGUGAUUUUGACAAGCUGACUGGCUCUUAGCCAAUUAGUGCCGCCGCUUCUCGACUCUGCAAAAGCCUUCUGG